rnacentral:rRNA from 1 species
UCGGGAAUCUUGCACAAUGGGCGAAAGCCUGAUGCAGCAACACCGUGUGAGCGAUGAAGGUCUUCGGAUCGUAAAGCUCUGUUGUUAGGGACGAAGGGCGAAGGGUUAAUAGCCCUUAGCCUGACGGUACCUUUCGAGGAAGCCCCGGCUAACUACGUGCCAGCAGCCGCGGUAAUACGUAGGGGGCGAGCGUUGUCCGGAAUUAUUGGGCGUAAAGGGCGCGUAGGCGGCCUGGUAAGUCUGCUGUGAAACCUUGGGGCCCAACCCCAAGCGUGCAGUGGAUACUGUCAGGCUAGAGGAUGGUAGAGGCCAGUGGAAUUCCCAGUGUAGCGGUGAAAUGCGCAGAUAUUGGGAGGAACACCAGUAGCGAAGGCGGCUGGCUGGGCCAUUCCUGACGCUGAGGCGCGAAAGCUAGGGGAGCGAACAGGAUUAGAUACCCCUGUAGUCC